GGGAGGCUCGACCACAGCACCAGUAACCUUGUCUGAUGUGAUCAUUAACCUUUCUGGAAAAAGCAGCUGGCCGUUGUCUGAGGCUCGUCAGUAGAAUGUGAGGGGAGCCUCACAGAUACCGCACAGACUAUUCAAGACUGGUUUACGUUGGGAGCUGUUGCUCUACUUCAGGGGGGCAGGAAAAUGAGUUUGCAACAAUUCCUUUUUGCCUUUCUGCUUUUCGUGAUGAGUCUUCUUCUUAUCAACGGACAGAGACCAGCUAAUUUGGCUGUGAGAAGAAAAUUGCACAGACACAACUGCCUUCAGAGGAGAUGUGUGCCUCUCCAUUCACGGGUGCCCUUCCCCUGAGAAUGGAUAAGAAAGAAUUAACACCAGCCUCUGUGGAUUCGAACUCUGACCACAAGCUGACUCACUGAUGGUCACUGUGUGGACCUUCUCUAGAUUAUCGUACCUGGUCUACCAGAAGAGGAAUGAAGGAAAGAUACCCACCCACACCAUAGUGUGAUUGCUUAGAAGUUCCUCUACAAAAAGGAAUCCUUUGAAAGCAUCUGGGAUGGUUUAUUAAUCUUACAGGAUUCUCUUCCCGGUUUCUCUUUAGAGGGGAAAAUAACAAAUUCAAAAGCAAUUCCAGUCUGAAGCACAAUUAUUUGCUUGUAUAUUAAAAAUCUCUCUUUUUCUGCACAUUACUAUUCCUAGAGGAGUUAAAAUAAAAACACUUUUUAAUGUCUUAGUACAAGAAUUAAAAUUUUUCUUUCAUAAUUCUGUAAUUCUCCACAAGUAUUAAAAUGUUUGUAUACGUUUGUAUAUGUUUGAGUGAUUUUUUUUCAAAAAUGCUAAAUCUCUAAUCAAAUGCUUUGACCGUUUGGCUUUACAGAAUAAGGAUACAUUAAUUGGUUCAUUGAUUAUUUAUAUAGUGAAACUAAGAAAGAAGCUAUUAAUUGCUAUCAAUUUUAUAUUAUAGGUUUUAAUGUUUAUGAAAGUAUUUUUUUAUUUUGAACAAUACCCAUAAAGUCAUAAAAGAAAGUUUGAAAUACUAAGAUGUUAAUUUCUGAAUCUGUCUCUCAUUAUGUAAUUACAAGAAGCCAGUGCUUUAUUUCCUUCCCAGUGUGAGGUCUUCCCAAGUUGUUAAAUACACUCUUAAUUUGUAUUUAUUAAAAGACUAAAGUUAGCUCAAUGCCAUAAAGUUUUUAUUUUACUGUAAGUAAAUUCCAGGUAUGAAAUUUAUGAAAUCUUGAUUAGAAAUUUUGCUUAUAAACAUUGUAGAGUGGAAGAAACAAUAAACCAUUAACCCUUAUUUUGAUAAAAUGGAACCUUGGGGGCACCUGGGUGGCUCAGUCUGUUAAGCCUCUGCCUUUGGCUUAGGUCAUGAUCUCAGGGUCCUGGGAUCGCGGUCCAUCCCCAUUGUGCACCCACCCCACCCCCCACCCCCAGGUGCUCCGCACAGCGGGAGCCUGCUUCCCUUCCUCUCUCUCUGCCUACUUGUGAUCUCUGUCUGUCACGAAUAAAUAAAUAAAAAUCUUUAACAAAAAAAAUAAAAGUUUGGGAUUGGUAUACUAUAAAGAAUUGGAGAUAGAAAUUCUGAAAUCACAGUUUGUCUCCCUUUCAUAGUUAAUUAAUGGUAUCUUUUGGAAUGGAAAGUACUGUAAAACACUGUAAUUAACUUGAAACACAAAAGAUGUUUUAUGAAAUGUAUUACCUCAUUUAAAAUUGGGUACUUUGGGGGAAAUUCUAAAUAAUUUUCUGGAUAAAUUGUAAUUCCUUUACACAAGUGCAUUUCAGUAGAAACAGAAGCUGUUAUCAGUUAUAUUUAUGUUUAAAACAUGUACUUGUUUUAAAUAAAUAAACAAAUAAAUAAAACA